rnacentral:misc_RNA from 1 species
UUGAAGAAUAACAAGCUCAAGGUUCGUUUCAAAAAGGUUAGUGCUAUAUUUUCCCUCUCACUCUUUUUAAUUUUGUUAGAAUAUCAAUUUAAGUUAAGAAAUUACAAAAAUUUGAAGUAAAUUAUACAUGUUAGAGUAUCUUUAAUUUUCGGCAGCCAUGAACUUUCUUGAGGUUGAUGGCUUGAAUGGAAUUAAAAUCCAUGGAUGUCCCUUGAUGUGUAUAAGUGAAUUAAAAACCUUAAUGGCAUGUAUAUUGUAAGAUUUGAGAACUUAGGAAUUAGGGUUUUGAGGGAAAUUUGAGUUUCACUUAUGUAAUGGUGAAUGAACAUUUUAAGGGUCAAUUAGUGACCAUUUGAGGUAAGUUGACCAUAAUUAGGAGUGAAUUAUUGCAUGGCAAAGUGGAAUGGGCAGGCUGCCCAAUGAGUGCAGUAGGGUGGCUGAGAUUUCAGUCCACUUGGACUGCCAUAUCUUUGGCUGUGUAGGUCCAAUUGGUGUUUUGCCAAUUGGACAUGAAACUAGACU